rnacentral:lncRNA from 1 species
ACUGAGCUCUGUGGAGUGCAGUUUUUGGCAGGGACACCUCAGGGGCCACUACCAGCUCCGGUCAGCUGGACUUGUGCAUCUGACUCCACCUUGCCCCCAUCUCUGCAUCAGAGAGCAGCUCUGCCUUCAUACUGUGUUAGUUCAGGGCUUCUUUUGAGGCUGUCUUUAAAAGAAACUAAACCAUGGUAACUUUAUACGUAUUCUUCCUUGGAUGAAAGGACUAGGAGAAAGCCCUGCAACCCCACUAGUCCGCCCGUUUGUUGAAAUCAGUUCAAGAUCAUCCAGGUCUGCAAAACUCGGCUGAAGCAGCUUGUUGCAUAAUUUACCAGAGAAAAGAGGGCCAUCUGGAGAGCCAAUCUGGAGAACUCGAGCAAAGGCAGAGUCUUUUUUUUUCCCCUCUUAAGUUAUCCUGAUUGACUCCCUGCCUAUAUUGGGCCUCCGCAGUUCUUGGCCCGCAUCCUGAAAGAUGGCAGUCCAGGUCAAAGGCCUUGGCCUCCUGGCUUUGAACCCUGGCAAAGCACUGCCUGGCCCACAACUGCUAGUAGCCCCACCUACCAUAGCUGUGCAAGGUUCUCAGUCACCUCCCAC